CUGGAAGAGGAAGUCCAAAAAUGGAAUAUGUACCACAAAUUAUGAUGAUAAUAAUUUACAAGAUCAUAAAACAUUUAUUUAAAUGCUAAAUUGUAUACAGUUAGUAAUUAACAUUUUUACCAUUCACAAUAAUUUACAUAUUAUUUAUAUUCAAAUAUAUUAUACCUCAUGUUUUCAAUCCAUGAACAAUCUGUAACGCACUCGAACAUUGCAU